CCUACGGGUGGCAGCAGUGAGGAAUAUUGGUCAAUGGCCGGAAGGCUGAACCAGCCAUGCCGCGUGAAGGUCAGUGCCCUAGGGGCUUUUAACUUCUUUUGUUCGGGAGCAAUAAUGGUCACGUUUGGCCCGACUAGAGUACCGUACGAAUAAACAUCGGCUGACUCCGGUCCCGCAGCCGCGGGCAUACGGGGGAUGCCAGCGUUUUCCCGGUUUAUUUGGGUUAAAGGGUGCGGAGGCUGGGCGGUCAGUCAGCGGGGAAAUGCCCCGGGUCAACGGGGGGAAGGGCAGUUGAUACUGCGGGGCUGGAAUGCGGAUGAGGUGGGAGGAAUGUGUGGUGUAGCGGUGAAAUGCAUAGAUAUGACACAGAACACCGAUUGCGAAGGAAU
rnacentral:rRNA from 1 species